rnacentral:tRNA from 1 species
GUGUCUAUGGUGUAAUGGUUAGCAUUUGGACUUUGAAUCCAGCGAUCCGAGUUCAAGUCUCGGUAGAACCU